rnacentral:rRNA from 1 species
AGCAUUAUUCAAAAUUAUUGGGCGUAAAAAGUUUUUAGAUGGUUAUUUGUUAUAACUUGAGUUUUUUAGAAAAAAAUAGAAUUUCUAAAGGAGAUUUAAUACUCUAAGAUCAUGGAAGGACUAUCAUUAGGUGAAAACAAUUUUUUAUAAAAAACUGACAUUGAAAGAACGAAGGCAUAGGGAGCAAAUUGGAUUUGGUACCCAAGUAGUCUAUGCUGUAAACGAUGAAUGUUAAAACAUAUAUAUAUUUAUUUUAUAUAUAUUUUUAAGCUAACGCGUAAACAUUUUGCCUGGGGACUACGAUCGCAAGAUUAAAACUCAAAGGAAUUGGCGGAGAUUUAUACACGCGGUGGAGCAUGUGAUUUAAUUCGAUAAUCCUCGCAAAACCUUACCAAUUUUAGAAUUCAAAAAUAAAAAUUUUUAGUUUUAAAAACAAAUUUUAAAAUUUAUUUUUUAAAAUUUAUUUUUUGUACAAGUGUUGCAUGGCUGUUGUCAGUUCGUGUUGUGAAAUGUCAAGUUAAUUCUUGAAACGAACGUAACCCUUUUUUUUAUAUUUAUUUAAUAAUUAAUUUUAUUAAUUUUAAAAAAAAUAAUUUAUAAUCUAUAUAAUUUUUAUACUUUGCGAUUAUAGAAAGAAUAAGGAUGACAUCAAGUCAUCAUGGCCUUAAUAAAUUGGGCUAUCUACGUGCUACAUUGAUAAUUACAAAAAGAAACAAGAAUGUAAAUUUAA